rnacentral:rRNA from 1 species
GUGUAAGUUUUUAAGAGCACACGGUGGAUGCCUUGGCAUCAGGAGCCGAAGAAGGACGUAGUAACCUGCGAUAAGCCUCGGGGAGUUGGUAAACGAACGGUGAUCCGAGGGUGUCCGAAUGGGGAAACCCCGCCAGAGCGCGUGCGUGUCUGGUGACCCGCGCCUGAAUAUAUAGGGCGUGUGGGGGGAACGUGGGGAAGUGAAACAUCUCAGUACCCACAGGAAGAGAAAACAAGAGUGAUUCCGGGAGUAGUGGCGAGCGAAACCGGAUGAGGCUAAACCUGGUCUGUGUGAUAGCCGGUAGGCGUUGCAGGUUGGGGGUUGUGGGACCAUUCGUGGGGCUCUACCGGGCUUCAAGGGUGACGUGUGUUGGAUAGUCGAAUCGUUUGGAAAGACGGACCAUAGUGGGUGAGAGUCCCGUAGACGAAAUUCAGUGCCGGCCCGAGUGGUAUCCCGAGUAUCACGGGACUCGUGUAAUCCCGUGUGAAUCUGCCAGGACCACCUGGUAAGCCUAAAUACUUCCUGAUGACCGAUAGCGGACAAGUACCGUGAGGGAAAGGUGAAAAGUACCCCGGGAGGGGAGUGAAAUAGUACCUGAAACCGUGUGCUUACAAUCCGUCAGAGCCUGUGCGGUCCUUGAGUGGGCUGGUGGGUGAUGGCGUGCCUUUUGAAGAAUGAGCCUGCGAGUUAGCGAUACGUGGCGAGGUUAACCCGUGUGGGGAAGCCGUAGCGAAAGCGAGUCCGAAUAGGGCGACCUAUAGUCGCGUGUCCUAGACCCGAAGCGAAGUGAUCUAGCCAUGGCCAGGUUGAAGCGCCGGUAAGACGGCGUGGAGGACCGAACCCACUUCAGUUGAAAAUGGAGGGGAUGAGCUGUGGUUAGGGGUGAAAGGCCAAUCAAACUUCGUGAUAGCUGGUUCUCCCCGAAAUGCAUUUAGGUGCAGCGUCAUGUGUUUCUUACCGGAGGUAGAGCUACUGGAUGGCUAAUGGGCCCAACAAGGUUACUGACGUCAGCCAAACUCCGAAUGCCGGUAAGUGAGAGCAUGGCAGUGAGACUGCGGGGGAUAAGCUUCGUAGUCGAGAGGGAAACAGCCCAGACCACCAACUAAGGCCCCUAAGCGUGUGCUAAGUGGGAAAGGAUGUGGAGUUGCACAGACAACCAGGAGGUUGGCUUAGAAGCAGCCAUCCUUGAAAGAGUGCGUAAUAGCUCACUGGUCAAGUGAUUCCGCGCCGACAAUGUAGCGGGGCUCAAGUACACCGCCGAAGUUGUGGCAUUCACAUAAUUCCAAGCAUUAUCCUACGGGGUGGUGUUCAGGGGUGUGGAUGGGUAGGGGAGCGUCGUGUGGGCAGUGAAGUCGCGGUGUAAACCAGUGGUGGAGCCUACACGAGUGAGAAUGCAGGCAUGAGUAGCGAAAGACGGGUGAGAAACCCGUCCGCCGAAUGAUCAAGGGUUCCAGGGCUAGGCUAAUCCGCCCUGGGUAAGUCGGGACCUAAGGCGAGGCCGACAGGCGUAGUCGAUGGACAACGGGUUGAUAUUCCCGUACCGGCGAAGAACCGCCCAUACCGAUUCCGGGGAUACUAACCACCCAAACCACCAUGGUCUGGCUUUCGAGCUUGUUCUGUGUUGUGGGGAGCGUGGGACCUGAUCUGGUAGUAGGUAAGCGUAUUAACAGGUGUGACGCAGGAGGGUAGCUUCCGCGUGCCGAUGGUUGUGCACGUCUAAGGAUGUAGGGAGUCUUGCAGGUAAAUCCGUGAGACUGGCUUUGAUGCCGUUCCUGAGAUCUGAUGGUGACCGCCCUUGUGGCGGGAAGAGGGUGAUCCCAUGCUGCCGAGAAAAGCAUCGACGUGAGGUUCUAGCCGCCCGUACCCCAAACCGACUCAGGUGAUCAGGUAGAGAAUACUAAGGCGAUCGAGAGAAUCGUGGUUAAGGAACUCGGCAAAAUACCCCCGUAACUUCGGGAUAAGGGGGGCCAAGCGCGUGAACACCUUCGCGGUGGGAGCGUGAGUUGGCCGCAGAGACCAGGGAGAAGCGACUGUUUACUAAAAACACAGGUCCGUGCGAAGUCGCAAGACGAUGUAUACGGACUGACGCCUGCCCGGUGCUGGAAGGUUAAGAGGACUGGUUAACCACACUUGUGUGGUGAAGCUGAGAAUUUAAGCCCCAGUAAACGGCGGUGGUAACUAUAACCAUCCUAAGGUAGCGAAAUUCCUUGUCGGGUAAGUUCCGACCUGCACGAAUGGCGUAACGACUUCUCUACUGUCUCAACCACGAACUCGGCGAAAUUGCAUUACGAGUAAAGAUGCUCGUUACGCGCAGCAGGACGGAAAGACCCCGAGACCUUUACUACAGUUUGGUAUUGGUGUUCGGUGUGGCUUGUGUAGGAUAGGUGGGAGACUAUGAGACGGGCACGCUAGUGUUCGUGGAGUCAUCGUUGAAAUACCACUCUGGUCAUAUUGGAUACCUUAACUUCGGACCAUGAUCUGGUUCAGGGACAGUGCCUGAUGGGUAGUUUAACUGGGGCGGUUGCCUCCCAAAGAGUAACGGAGGCGCCCAAAGGUUCCCUCAGCCUGGUUGGCAAUCAGGUGUCGAGUGUAAGUGCACAAGGGAGCUUGACUGUGAGACGGACGUGUCGAGCAGGAGCGAAAGCUGGGACUAGUGACCCGGCCGUGGAUUGUGGAAUCGCGGUCGCUCAACGGAUAAAAGGUACCUCGGGGAUAACAGGCUGAUCUUGCCCAAGAGUCCAUAUCGACGGCAUGGUUUGGCACCUCGAUGUCGGCUCGUCGCAUCCUGGGGCUGGAGUCGGUCCCAAGGGUUGGGCUGUUCGCCCAUUAAAGCGGUACGCGAGCUGGGUUUAGAACGUCGUGAGACAGUUCGGUCCCUAUCCGCUGCGCGCGGAGGAAAUUUGAGAAGGGCUGUCCUUAGUACGAGAGGACCGGGACGGACGAACCUCUGGUGUGCCAGUUGUCCUGCCAAGGGCACGGCUGGUUAGCUACGUUCGGAAAGGAUAACCGCUGAAAGCAUCUAAGCGGGAAGCCUGCUUCGAGAUGAGAUUUCCAUACCCCUACGGGGUGAGAGGCUCCCAGCUAGAUUACUGGGUUGAUAGGCCAGACGUGGAAGCACAGCAAUGUGUGGAGCUGACUGGUACUAAUAAGCCGAUAACUUACCCAC